rfam:Dipodomys ordii contig_52586, whole genome shotgun sequence.
GGGAAGGUAGCUCAGUGGUAGAGUACUUGCCUCACAUGCAUGAGGCCCUGAGUUCAAUUCCUCAGCACUACCG